AACGAACGCUGGCGGCAUGCCUAACACAUGCAAGUCGAACGAGACCUUCGGGUCUAGUGGCGCACGGGUGCGUAACGCGUGGGAACCUGCCCUUAGGUUCGGAAUAACUCCCCGAAAGGGGUGCUAAUACCGGAUAAUGUCUUCGGACCAAAGAUUUAUCGCCUUUGGAUGGGCCCGCGUUGGAUUAGCUAGUUGGUAGGGUAAAAGCCUACCAAGGCGACGAUCCAUAGCUGGUCUGAGAGGAUGAUCAGCCACACUGGGACUGAGACACGGCCCAGACUCCUACGGGAGGCAGAAGGGGGGAAUAUUGGACAAUGGGCGAAAGCCUGAUCCAGCAAUGCCGCGUGAGUGAUGAAGGCCUUAGGGUUGUAAAGCUCUUUUACCCGGGAUGAUAAUGACAGUACCGGGAGAAUAAGCUCCGGCUAACUCCGU
rnacentral:rRNA from 1 species